CAGUCGCCGCGGUAAUACGUAGGGUGCAAGCGUUAAUCGGAAUUACUGGGCGUAAAGCGUGCGCAGGCGGUUAUAUAAGACAGAUGUGAAAUCCCCGGGCUCAACCUGGGAACUGCAUUUGUGACUGUAUAGCUAGAGUACGGCAGAGGGGGAUGGAAUUCCGCGUGUAGCAGUGAAAUGCGUAAAUAUGCGGAGGAACACCGAUGGCGAAGGCAAUCCCCUGGGCCUGUACUGACGCUCAUGCACGAAAGCGUGGGGAGCAAACAGGAUUAGAUACCCCGGUAGUCCCUGUCUCUUAUAU
rnacentral:rRNA from 1 species